rnacentral:ribozyme from 1 species
AUUAUUUUGAUGAGCUUCUAUCAGAAAAUGGAAUCAGAAAGCAUUGUGUGAGGGACCUCACUAAUCCCGACCCAAUAUCUGCCUUCAUGAGAGAAAGCUUUUUGUUAA